CACAGCGUAGCUUAAACAAAGCAUCUGGCCUACACCCAGAAGAUUUCAUAAUAAAUGAACGCUUUGA
rnacentral:tRNA from 1 species